rnacentral:rRNA from 1 species
GGGUUGUGAGGUUAAGCGACUAAGCGUACACGGUGGAUGCCCUGGCAGUCAGAGGCGAUGAAGGACGUGCUAAUCUGCGAAAAGCGUCGGUAAGGUGAUAUGAACCGUUAUAGCCGGCGAUGUCCGAAUGGGGAAACCCAGUGCAAUUCGUUGCACUAUCGUUAACUGAAUACAUAGGUUAACGAGGCGAACCGGGGGAACUGAAACAUCUAAGUACCCCGAGGAAAAGAAAUCAACCGAGAUUCCCCCAGUAGCGGCGAGCGAACGGGGAGCAGCCCAGAGUCUGAAUCAGCUUGUGUGUUAGUGGAACGGUCUGGAAAGUCCGACGGUACAGGGUGAUAGUCCCGUACACCAAAAUGCACAGGUUGUGAACUCGAAGAGUAGGGCGGGACACGUGGUAUCCUGUCUGAAUAUGGGGGGACCAUCCUCCAAGGCUAAAUACUCCUGACUGACCGAUAGUGAACCAGUACCGUGAGGGAAAGGCGAAAAGAACCCCGGCGAGGGGAGUGAAAAAGAACCUGAAACCGUGUACGUACAAGCAGUGGGAGCACCUUCGGGUGUGACUGCGUACCUUUUGUAUAAUGGGUCAGCGACUUAUAUUCUGUAGCAAGGUUAACCGUAUAGGGGAGCCGCAGGGAAACCGAGUCUUAACUGGGCGUUAAGUUGCAGGGUAUAGACCCGAAACCCGGUGAUCUAGCCAUGGGCAGGUUGAAGGUUGGGUAACACUAACUGGAGGACCGAACCGACUAAUGUUGAAAAAUUAGCGGAUGACUUGUGGCUGGGGGUGAAAGGCCAAUCAAACCGGGAGAUAGCUGGUUCUCCCCGAAAGCUAUUUAGGUAGCGCCUCGUGAAUUCAUCUUCGGGGGUAGAGCACUGUUUCGGCUAGGGGGUCAUCCCGACUUACCAACCCGAUGCAAACUACGAAUACCGAAGAAUGUUAUCACGGGAGACACACGGCGGGUGCUAACGUCCGUCGUGAAGAGGGAAACAACCCAGACCGCCAGCUAAGGUCCCAAAGUCAUGGUUAAGUGGGAAACGAUGUGGGAAGGCACAGACAGCCAGGAUGUUGGCUUAGAAGCAGCCAUCAUUUAAAGAAAGCGUAAUAGCUCACUGGUCGAGUCGGCCUGCGCGGAAGAUGUAACGGGGCUAAACCAUGCACCGAAGCUGCGGCAGCGACACUAUGUGUUGUUGGGUAGGGGAGCGUUCUGUAAGCCUGCGAAGGUGUGCUGUGAGGCAUGCUGGAGGUAUCAGAAGUGCGAAUGCUGACAUAAGUAACGAUAAAGCGGGUGAAAAGCCCGCUCGCCGGAAGACCAAGGGUUCCUGUCCAACGUUAAUCGGGGCAGGGUGAGUCGACCCCUAAGGCGAGGCCGAAAGGCGUAGUCGAUGGGAAACAGGUUAAUAUUCCUGUACUUGGUGUUACUGCGAAGGGGGGACGGAGAAGGCUAUGUUAGCCGGGCGACGGUUGUCCCGGUUUAAGCAUGUAGGCUGAUUGUCCAGGCAAAUCCGGAUAAUCAAGGCUGAGGUGUGAUGACGAGGCACUACGGUGCUGAAGUAACAAAUGCCCUGCUUCCAGGAAAAGCCUCUAAGCAUCAGGUAACAUCAAAUCGUACCCCAAACCGACACAGGUGGUCAGGUAGAGAAUACCAAGGCGCUUGAGAGAACUCGGGUGAAGGAACUAGGCAAAAUGGUGCCGUAACUUCGGGAGAAGGCACGCUGGUGUGUAGGUGAAGUCCCUGCGGAUGGAGCUGAGACCAGUCGAAGAUACCAGCUGGCUGCAACUGUUUAUUAAAAACACAGCACUGUGCAAACACGAAAGUGGACGUAUACGGUGUGACGCCUGCCCGGUGCCGGAAGGUUAAUUGAUGGGGUUAUCCGUAAGGAGAAGCUCUUGAUCGAAGCCCCGGUAAACGGCGGCCGUAACUAUAACGGUCCUAAGGUAGCGAAAUUCCUUGUCGGGUAAGUUCCGACCUGCACGAAUGGCGUAAUGAUGGCCAGGCUGUCUCCACCCGAGACUCAGUGAAAUUGAACUCGCUGUGAAGAUGCAGUGUACCCGCGGCAAGACGGAAAGACCCCGUGAACCUUUACUAUAGCUUGACACUGAACAUUGAGCCUUGAUGUGUAGGAUAGGUGGGAGGCUUUGAAGCGUGGACGCCAGUCUGCGUGGAGCCAACCUUGAAAUACCACCCUUUAAUGUUUGAUGUUCUAACGUUGGCCCCUUACCGGGGUUGCGGACAGUGUCUGGUGGGUAGUUUGACUGGGGCGGUCUCCUCCCAAAGCGUAACGGAGGAGCACGAAGGUUAGCUAAUCCUGGUCGGACAUCAGGAGGUUAGUGCAAUGGCAUAAGCUAGCUUGACUGCGAGCGUGACGGCGCGAGCAGGUGCGAAAGCAGGUCAUAGUGAUCCGGUGGUUCUGAAUGGAAGGGCCAUCGCUCAACGGAUAAAAGGUACUCCGGGGAUAACAGGCUGAUACCGCCCAAGAGUUCAUAUCGACGGCGGUGUUUGGCACCUCGAUGUCGGCUCAUCACAUCCUGGGGCUGAAGUAGGUCCCAAGGGUAUGGCUGUUCGCCAUUUAAAGUGGUACGCGAGCUGGGUUUAGAACGUCGUGAGACAGUUCGGUCCCUAUCUGCCGUGGGCGCUGGAGAAUUGAGGGGGGCUGCUCCUAGUACGAGAGGACCGGAGUGGACGCAUCACUGGUGUUCGGGUUGUCAUGCCAAUGGCACUGCCCGGUAGCUAAAUGCGGAAGAGAUAAGUGCUGAAAGCAUCUAAGCACGAAACUUGCCCCGAGAUGAGUUCUCCCUGAGACUUUAAGUCUCCUGAAGGAACGUUGAAGACGACGACGUUGAUAGGCCGGGUGUGUAAGCGCAGCGAUGCGUUGAGCUAACCGGUACUAAUGAACCGUGAGGCUUAACCUUACAACGCCGAAG